rnacentral:rRNA from 1 species
UACGUAGGGUCCGAGCGUUGUCCGGAAUUAUUGGGCGGAAAGGGCUCGUAGGCGGUUUGUCGCGUCGGGAGUGAAAACACGGGGCUUAACCCCGUGCCUGCUUCCGAUACGGGCAGACUAGAGGUAUGCAGGGGAGAACGGAAUUCCUGGUGUAGCGGUGAAAUGCGCAGAUAUCAGGAGGAACACCGGUGGCGAAGGCGGUUCUCUGGGCAUUACCUGACGCUGAGGAGCGAAAGUGUGGGGAGCGAACAGG